AGGUCCCACCAUCGGAAGCGUGCUAAAGACAACCAACCCCCGCGAAGUAGUAUCUAACGGUGGUCCCGCGGGGAAGAGUGAUAGAAGAAGUGUGUGGGGGUAGUUUUUAGUACGUAAGCGCCAUGGAUGGCAAAUCGUGCAUGCUAGUACUAAGAACCAGCAGUAUCUUUUGAAGAUUUGUAACUUCCGCGAAC
rfam:Glossina pallidipes unplaced genomic scaffold Scaffold600, whole genome shotgun sequence.